UACGGGGGGGGUAAGCGUUGUUCGGAAUUACUGGGCGUAAAGGGCUCGUAGGCGGCCAACUAAGUCAGACGUGAAAUCCCUCAGCUUAACUGGGGAACUGCGUCUGAUACUGGAUGGCUUGGAUUCGGGAGAGGGAUGCGGAAUUCCAGGUGUAGCGGUGAAAUGCGUAGAUAUCAGGAGGAACACCUGUGGUGUAGACAGCUUACUGGACCAUUUCUGACGCUGAGACACGAAAGCGUGGGUAGCAAACAGG
rnacentral:rRNA from 1 species